GGGGUUGUGGCUCAGCGGUUGAGCGCUUGCCUGGCACAUGCAAGACCCUGGGUUCAAUCCUCAGCACCA
rfam:Ictidomys tridecemlineatus contig015657, whole genome shotgun sequence.